CAAAUGGCGAUUUACUCUUUGAUUUCAAUUUAUAGUGAUCUGUGAUUUAGUUAUUUUCAAUUGAUUUGAUGGUUGUGUUGUGUUAUUUUUUAUUUUAGUGAUUUUUAUUCUUAAAGUGAAAAAUAAAGAUUAAGGAAAAUAGAUAUUCAUCCACAUUAGUGAGUAUUUAAAUCACACUAUAUAGGUGCGAACCAAACCGUAGAAAUACAUUACUGAAAAACUUUAACUCACAGAAAAUCCUGCCUUCUCUUGCCGAAAAGGUUACAAGAUUAUAAGGGAUACGUUUAGGCUGGAGUGACUCCAGCGGGGAUCAGCACCAAAAGGACCUACAUACAACGGCCAACCCUAGUGGCCAAGUGCGGAAAAGGCCCAGGAAUAAGAAGAAGAAGAAGAUAUAUAAAGAAAGAACAAUUAAUUGCAGUUGCAAACAAUUGAUUAACUAUUAUCUUCAGUCCUAGACAAUGGUUUGAAGAAUUUAGAAAUUUUUUCUUGCUCAACAUUUUUUAAAAGCUUCUAUUCAGUGGCAUUCUUAAACCAUCCAUUCACAAUUUCAGCAAUAGGUAUUUGCAAGUUAAAGUUUAAAUUUGCACGAGUAACGAAAUAUUUAGCUGUGAUUAUAGGAAUUGAGAUACAAUUUUUAAUUUUUUUUUUUUUUUUUUUACACGUUAGCCCUUGACUACAAUCUCACCUGAUGGUAAGUGAUGAUAUAAUCUAAGAUGGAAACGGGCUAACUUGUUAGGAGGAGGAUGAAAAUCCACCCUCCUUUCGGUUUCUACACGACAUCGUACCGGAACGCUAAAUUGCUUGGCGGUACGUCUUUGUCGGUAGGGUGGUAACUAGCUACGGCCGAAGCCUCCCACCAGCUAGACCUGGAACAGUUGAGAAAACCUCAAUCAACCCAGCCGGAGAUCGAACCCAGGACCUCCGUCAUUAAAUCCACUGCGCAUACCACUGCGCCACGGAGGCCGUCAAUUCCGCGAAUAGUGAACAUGUGAAUAAAGGAAGCUUGAAUAAGGAGCUUUUACUGUAUGUAUAUAUUAUGUAACUGAGUUACUGCUGCCUUGCAGAUAAAGCAGACUACAGCGAGGUCAAA